CCUACGGGAGGCAGCAGUGAGGAAUAUUGGUCAAUGGACGAGAGUCUGAACCAGCCAAGUAGCGUGAAGGAUGACUGCCCUAUUGGUUGUAAACUUCUUUUAUAUGGGAAUAAAAUGUUCCACGUGUGGGAUUUUGUAUGUACCAUAUGAAUAAGGAUCGGCUAACUCCGUGCCAGCAGCCGCGGUAAUACGGAGGAUCCGAGCGUUAUCCGGAUUUAUUGGGUUUAAAGGGAGCGUAGGUGGAUUGUUAAGUCAGUUGUGAAAGUUUGCGGCUCAACCGUAAAUUUGCAGUUGAAACUGGCAGUCUUGAGUACAGUAGAGGUGGGCGGAAUUCGUGGUGUAGCGGUGAAAUGCUUAGAUAUCACGAAGAACUCCGAUUGCGAAGGCAGUUCACUGGACUGCAACUGACACUGAGGCUCGAAAGUGUGGGUAUCAAACAGGAUUAGAUACCCCAGUAGUC
rnacentral:rRNA from 1 species